AUAGUUACCUGCAAGGGGGGAGAUACUGUGAUCAUGAAGGUGGUCUCCUCAGGCUGAGGUUCAGCCUAUUGUACUUUGGGCGCGCCAACCUUGUCAUUUCCCCAAGUGUGGGAAAUUGGGCUGCGUAAUUUAUGGUAGUUGGAAAGUGCUGCGUUCAUGCUCUUCCCCU